UGAUGCCCCUCACCCACCAUUGAAGAUCCCAGGUGGGCGAGGGAAUGAUCAGCGGGAUC
rfam:Astyanax mexicanus chromosome 5, whole genome shotgun sequence.